CAGGGAGGAGGAAGACAGACAGGUUAUUGGUGCUGUGUUGAAACAGCAGGCCCAGGGAGGAGGAAGACAGACAGGUUAUUGGUGCUGUGUUGAAACAGCCGGCCCAGGGAGGAGGAAGACAGACAGGUUAUUGGUGCUGUGUUGAAACAGCAGGCCCAGGGAGGAGGAAGACAGACAGGUUAUUGGUGCUGUGUUGAAACAGCCGGCCCAGGGAGGAGGAAGACAGACAGGUUAUUGGUGCUGUGUUGAAACAGCAGGCCCAGGGAGGAGGAAGACAGAGUGUAGGCACACAGCAAACCUUUAUGUUUAAUUUUGACUUGUUUUCACCUACACACACACUUCUCCACACUUAUAUUACCCUCGGGUCCAGUAGACCCGAACACCGCAUAUGUAAUAUAAAUGUGUAGGGAGGUGCACAGUGUGCACUCAAUGAAAAUGUGUUCUUUUACAUGUUUUUCACAGAAAAUGGGACAAGGUCAAUGAGUCUCAGGUUGAAAAAGUUAUUAAUUGUAUAAUCUUUAUUUUAGUAAACAUUGAAAAUGAGUCCCAAGGACCCACAACACCACACAAAGGUUAAAUAUCUUCAAUAAAAUAUAGGUUAAUGUCAAUUUUUUGUUUAGCUCACACAGGGCUGACUGCUUGUGAAUAUUGCCAGCAGACAGUUUUGCUUGUCUUCAAAAUGGGGUUCAGGACUUGAGGCCAGUCUGCCCUCUAGUGGAGUGCUGUGACUGACUUCCAAAGUCUUUCCACAGAGUUGCAUCAUCUCAAGAGGAGCAUUGUUCCCUCUGCUCUUGACAAUAGUUAAACAGAAUAAAUCACUCAGUACAUUCAUAGAAAAUGGUAUAGUAACACUGUAACUGCACUCUGUAUCAAAAUAUAUACACUACCGUUCAAAAGUUUGGGGUCACUUAGAAAUGUCCUUGUUUUUGAAAGAACAUUUUUAUUUUUGUCCAUUAAAAUUACAUCAAAUUGACCAGAAAUACAGUGUAGACAUUGUUAAUGACUAUUGUAGCUGGAAACGGCUGAUUUUUAAUGGAAUAUCUACAUAGGCCCAUUAUUAGCAACCAUCACUCCUGUGUUCCAACAGCAAUUGUGUGUGCUAAUGUAACAGUAUAGCUUCCGUCCCUCUCCUCGCCCCAACCUGGGCUUGAACCCGGGACCCUCUGCACACAUCGACAACUGACACCCACGAAGCAUCGUUACCCAUCGUGCCACAAAAGCCGGGGCCCUUGCAGAGCAAGGGGAACAACUACUUCAGGCCGCAGAGCGAGUGAUGUCACCCGAUUGAAACGCUAUUUGCGCACACCACCGCUAACUAACUAGCCAUUUCACAUCGGUUACACUAAUCCAAGUUGAUCAUUUUAAAGGCUAAUUGAUCAUUAGAAAACCCUUUUGCAAUUAUGUUAGCACAGCUGAAAACUGUUGCCCUGAUUAAAGAAGCAAUAAAACUGGCCUUCUUUAGACUAGUUGAGUUUCUGGAUCAUCAGCAUUUGUGGGUUUGUUUACAUGCUCAAAAUGGCCAGAAACAAAUAACUUUCUUCUGAAACUCGUCAGUCUAUUCUUGUUCUGAGAAAUGAAGGCUAUUCCAUGCGAGAAAUUGCCAAGAAACUGAAGAUCUCGUACAACGCUGUGUACUACUCCCUUCACAGAACAGGGCAAACUGGCUCUAACCAGAAUAGAAAGAGGAGUGGGAGGCCCCGCCGCACAACUGAGCAAGAGGACAAGUACAUUAGAGUGUCUAGUUUGAGAAACAGACGCCUCACAAGUCCUCAACUGGCAGCUUCAUUAAAUAGUACCCGCAAAACACCAGUCUCAACGUCAACAGAGAAGAGGCGACUCCGGGAUGCUGGCCUUCUAGGCAGAGUUGCAAAAAAAAAAAACAUAUCUCAGACUGGCCAAUAAAAAAUAAAAGAUUAAGAUGGGCAAAAAACACAGACACUGGACAGAGGAACUCUGCCUGGAAGGCAUCCUGGAGUCGCCUCUUCACUGUUGACCUUUACAAUUACAAUAGACUUACAUGUAAUCAUUUCCUCUUAACUGGGUAAACUUUGAAUGAACAAAAAGAUGGGUGCACUCUCAUCUUUGUUGAGAGAUUAGAGAUGUUUAUUUUCAUGGGUGAAGAACAUGGUAAACUCCAGUCCCCAAGUACACUGUCCAGUCCCCAAGUACACUGUCCACCUUGGGGUCAUUCUCUUCCUAAGCUGUUUGGACAGACCAGUCUUCAAAAUCCCCGCAAGCAAAAACAAAUGAUUCCUCCAUUGAACGAAUAAGAGUCUGUUUUUGGACAAGGAUCAGAUAAUGGAGGAAAUUGAAAUGUAUCCGUCCAUCCACAUCCACAGAUGCUCUCAACUUCUGGACAGAUCAGGCAAUGCUGUGAUGAUCGGAAGUAGCCUCAGUGACUUCACUCUCUCUAUUGUUAUGAUUCCCUGUGCAGCCCAUAGACUUAUACUGUAUAUUAGGUGUAACAGAGGAUAUUACUGAAAGGACAGUCACGUCAUUAACAGUUAACGAUAGCCACAAAAACGGCGAUAUAUGCAUAUAAAUAGAAUUAUACACACCAGAUUAAUACAACAACAAACACGGUCCAGAAGCUACACAUAAUGCUAAGCCGUUGCUAGACUGUGACUGAACUCAUUUGAAAUAUCCCUCGUACAUUCGUUAUUAUUACAUUAAACCAUUGACUGUAUGGAUUAAACUCACGAUACACUGUUAGAUCCUACGUAGUAUUUUGUUGAUAGACAACUAAAUAGGCCAAUAUUCCUUACCGGUAGCGGGUCUCUAUAACAGAUUAAGUUUUAAAGAAUCUGGAAGAUGAUAAAAUACAGCAGCCUACUUCCUAAUGUUUUGGAGCCGGCCCGAUAACGAAACCUUACCUGACGCAGGUGCAUUGACAGCCGAGAGCUACACCCAACUGAAACCGACAGAGAGCGCCCUAAAUUCUAAUAUGUGUGUUUCAGCCACUGUUGUGGUCAAUCAAAACGCAUAAUAUCUGUAGGUGACAGAGUCGAUUGUCAAGACAUGACUAGGCAGUGCAUGUUUUUGUGGCUAUCGUUAAUUGUAAAUGACGUGGCUGUCCUUUCAGUUAUAUCCUCUGAAGAGCUCUUCCAUAC
rnacentral:lncRNA from 1 species